AAAAGAAGCCCCCCGUCAGGGGGCUUCUUCUCUAUUUCAUUGUGAAAUCUAUUAUCCCA
rnacentral:sRNA from 1 species